AAUUUAAAUCGAAAUUAACCAAAUAUUGAAGAAACGUAUCUACAAAACGGACGUAUUUUCAUCGGUCCUUCUUAACACGUGGCGGCGUGUUAUCUGUUUCUGUCGUUUGGGUUGGGUGAGACCAAAAAAAUCGUGGUCUCGAGUUAUUUUCUUUUCUCUUUGUUUCUCUUUCUUUACUCUUUCUCUCUCUCGACGGCGAUUUGAUUCCGUCCGCCGAUCUGCUUGAAAAUUGGGUGAAUCAAAGGCAAAUCUGCCGUCAGUUUCCUCACGCAGGUUGCAAUAGAAAGGGGGUUUUUGAGAAGAAUGGUGUCAAAUUGGUUGUAGAUAACGUUUCAUACGACUUCGUGAAAGGUGCCACAGUUGAUUAUGUGGAGGAACUGAUCCGUGCUGCUUUUGUGGUAGCUGAAAACCCAGCCGCAGUAGGUGGAUGCAGUUGUAAAAGCUCAUUCAUGGUGAAACAGUGAAUCACUGAAUCUUUCUUCUUUACAUGGAGUAGAAACCACGUUUGAUCUUUUGUUUAUUACAUGUAUAAUGUCAUAACUAGGGAAAGAUACAAAACUCUGUAGGCUUCUAGCUCAACAAAUGAUUUGUUCAUCCUAUUUUUAAAGAAUAAUGGAAAAGAUUUAUACAAAGAGGAAUC